rnacentral:rRNA from 1 species
UACGAAGGGGGCUAGCGUUGCUCGGAAUCACUGGGCGUAAAGCGCACGUAGGCGGCUUAUUAAGUCAGGGGUGAAAUCCUGGAGCUCAACUCCAGAACUGCCUUUGAUACUGAUGAGCUUGAGUUCGGGAGAGGUGAGUGGAACUGCGAGUGUAGAGGUGAAAUUCGUAGAUAUUCGCAAGAACACCAGUGGCGAAGGCGGCUUGCCAGAACGCACUCGACGGUGAGGGAUGAAAGCUGGGGGAGCAAACCGG